rnacentral:miRNA from 1 species
UUAGGUUGCUGCAAAAGUAAUUGUGGUUUUUGCCAUUGAUUGUAAUAGCAAAAACUGCAAUUGCUUUUGCACCAACCUAAUA